ACCUUUAGCUCAGUUGGUUAGAGCAACCGGCUCAUAACCGGUCGGUCCUGGGUUCGAGUCCCUGAAGGUC
rnacentral:tRNA from 1 species